rnacentral:rRNA from 1 species
UACGGGAGGCAGCAGUUAAGAAUCUUGCGCAAUGGGCGGAAGCCUGACGCAGCGACGCCGCGUGCCUGAGGAAGGCCUUCGGGUUGUAAAGGGCACUAGACAGGGACGAAGGAAGUGACGGUACCUGUUGAAAGCACCGGCUAAUUACGUGCCAGCAGCCGCGGUAAUACGUAUGGUGCAAGCGUUGCUCGGAAUCACUGGGCGUAAAGGGUGCGUAGGCGGGUAUGUAAGUCUGUUGUGAAAUACCGCAGCUUAACUGCGGUGCUGCGACGGAAACUGCAUAUCUGGAGUCCCGGAGAGGCAGACGGAAUUCCCGGUGUAGCGGUGAAAUGCGCAGAUAUCGGGAGGAACACCGAUGGCGAAGGCAGUCUGCUGGACGGAGACUGACGCUGAGGCACGAAAGCGUGGGGAGCAAACAGGAUUAGAUACCCUGGUAGUCCACGCCCUAAACGUUGUCGACUAGGCGUUGGUAGGUGAGAGCCUAUCGGUGCCGAAGCAAACGCGAUAAGUCGACCGCCUGGGGACUACGCU